rnacentral:rRNA from 1 species
CGGACGGGUGAGUAACACGUGGAUAACCUACCUAUAAGACUGGGAUAACUUCGGGAAACCGGAGCUAAUACCGGAUAACAUGUUGAACCGCAUGGUUCAACAGUGAAAGACGGUCUUGCUGUCACUUAUAGAUGGAUCCGCGCCGCAUUAGCUAGUUGGUAAGGUAACGGCUUACCAAGGCAACGAUGCGUAGCCUACCUGAGAGGGUGAUCGGCCACACUGGAACUGAGACACGGUCCAG